rnacentral:rRNA from 1 species
UACGAAGGGGGCUAGCGUUGCUCGGAAUCACUGGGCGUAAAGGGCACGUAGGCGGCUUGUUAAGUCAGGGGUGAAAUCCUGGAGCUCAACUCCAGAACUGCCUUUGAUACUGGCGAGCUUGAGUUCGGGAGAGGUGAGUGGAACUGCGAGUGUAGAGGUGAAAUUCGUAGAUAUUCGCAAGAACACCAGUGGCGAAGGCGGCUCACUGGCCCGAUACUGACGCUGAGGUGCGAAAGCGUGGGGAGCAAACAGG